UACGUAGGUGGCAAGCGUUUGUCCGGAUUUACUGGGCGUAAAGAGCGCGCAGGCGGUUGGAUAAGUCGAAUGUGAAAGCCCCCGGCUUAACUGGGGAGGGUCAUUCGAUACUGUUCAACUUGAAGGCAGGAGAGGGCAGCAGAAUUCCCGGUGUAGUGGUGAAAUGCGUAGAUAUCGGGAGGAAUACCAGUGGCGAAGGCGGCUGCCUGGCCUGUUCUUGACGCUGAGGCGCGAAAGCUGGGGGAGCAAACGGG
rnacentral:rRNA from 1 species